rnacentral:lncRNA from 1 species
AUGUUGGUAUUCUAGUUGUUAGUGUGUGUAAAAUUUUUGAGGUUAAUCAAAUAGUUAGAUCAAAGUGAGUGAAGGUUUUGCACGAUGAGGUCUCAAAAAUUAGAAUUUGAGGGUCAGUGAGUAGUUUUAAGAUCUUUAGCAAUCUAUUGAUUGAAGUGAAAUUUUUUGUAUAGAGAUUAGACUUAAUUUUCCAUAGUUUAAGUAUAAAUUGGAGGUAAUUUAAUGGUUUAAAAAAGAGAUAUUGAUACU